rnacentral:lncRNA from 1 species
AGAGAAUAACCCUAGAGAAAGUAUAUAGUCAAGCAUACACAAAGAGAUAUAUGCUUUGAUAUCAUGUUAAAAUAUGAAAGGCUACUGCCAGUAUAUUGGGUUUGGUGAUAACUAAAUCACUACGCCUAUAUUUUUUUCUAAAGAUUAAGGUAUUAUGGGAAAUCGAAAAUAGAUUUUCUUAAUAUCUUUAUAGGAGGGUGAAUAAGAACAUAAUAUCCAUCUUUUGAGGGUCACCCGUUUGGAGCUUAUGAGAAUGGAUCUCAAAUAUGGAGAUGGGUACAAGAGAGAAACAUGGCCUCUAAGAGAGAUGCGGUAUUCGCAUGAAUUUUGAGUUGGUUAACUUCCAUAUCUAGAGAGAGAAUAAUCUUUAUUGUUCUCGAGGUUAUCUUUCUGAUAGCGGCAUUGCGGUGGGAAAUAGGUUGAUGACGGUGUUGUUUGGUCGGGAGAGCGGGUUUAGAAUAAAAGAUCGGUGAUGGUUUUUUACCGAUAUUUAGAGAUAGGUAUUACCUCUUAUAAUUCAAAAUUGUAAUCUUCAUUGUGAUAGUGGAUUUCUAGUUGC